AUGGUGCCACAGCCCCAAUUCCUCAUCUUCCUGGUGCUCUGGGUCUCAGGUGUCUGUGGGGACAUUGUGAUGACCCAGUCUCCAGGCUCCCUGGCUGUGUCUGUAGGAGACAGGGUCACCAUCAACUGCAAGUCCAGCCAGAGUCUUUUAUACAGCUCCAAACAGAAGAAUUACUUAGCCUGGUACCAGCAGAAACCAGGCCAGGCUCCUAAGCUGCUCAUCUACUGGGCAUCCACCCGGGCCACAGGGAUCCCUGACCGAUUCAGUGGCAGUGGGUCUGGAACAGAUUUCACUGUCACCAUCAGCAGCUGCCAGGCUGAAGAUGUGGCAGUUUACUACUGUCAGCAGUAUUAUAAUGAUCCUCCCACAGUGCUUCAGGCUCAAACAAAAACCUCCUCCCCAGACCCAUGGGCCCAUCAUCAACAGGUUAAAGAAGAUUUUCCAGAUUUCAAUUUAAAGGAUCCUGUUGAUCAGAGUCUAGAGCUUGGUGACUGGGUAGCAUCAUCAGAGGAAACAACCCUUGAUCCCCGUUGGAAAGGACCUUACCAAGUGCUUCUGACCACAGACACACUUCCCCACUCCCCAGCCAGCCCGGCGAAGGCUGCCCCGAGCUGGCCAGCACCGGGCCACGGGCCAGGAGGGCUGGGGGCCCUCCACCCGACUCCUGGCAGCACUCGGACAUCUUGUCAGUAA